GCCGUAGAAUUUGAAAUCAAUUCUAACCGUAGAACUGUUCUAGAAGUAGAACUGACCAAAUAUUUGGUCAGUUCUAGCUAGAACUGUCUAAAACUGUUCUAGGGUAGAACUGUCAGGAUCAGUUCUAGCUAGAACUGUCCAAAUCAGUUCUAGGUAGAACUGACCAAAUCAGUUCUAGCUAGAACAGUUCUAACCUAGAACUGACUAAAAGGUGUCAGGCUGACAGUUCUACAUACUGUUCUAGAACAGUUCUCCUGACAGAAUUUAUGAGAGGUUAGAACUGAUCUCCACUGUAC
rnacentral:lncRNA from 1 species